rnacentral:pre_miRNA from 1 species
AAAACUUGGUUGGCCACGCGUAUUCUUGGGGAACUAGCACACAUGAUAAGUUGUUAUUGCUUGAGAAUACACGUAGCUGACAAGUGCC